UACGAGGGGGGCAAGCGUUGUUCGGAAUUACUGGGCGUAAAGGGCGCGUAGGCGGCCGAUCAAGUCAGAUGUGAAAGUCCUGGGCUUAACCUGGGGACUGCAUUUGAUACUGAUUGGCUUGAAUUCGGGAGAGGAUAGCGGAAUUCCCAGUGUAGAGGUGAAAUUCGUAGAUAUUCGCAAGAACACCAGUGGCGAAGGCGGCUCACUGGCCCGGUACUGACGCUGAGGUGCGAAAGCGUGGGGAGCAAACAGG
rnacentral:rRNA from 1 species